rnacentral:rRNA from 1 species
UAGUCCACGCCGUAAACGAUGUCUACUAGCCGUUGGGAAACUUGAUUUCUUAGUGGCGCAGCUAACGCACUAAGUAGACCGCCUGGGGAGUACGGCCGCAAGGUUAAAACUCAAAUGAAUUGACGGGGGCCCGCACAAGCGGUGGAGCAUGUGGUUUAAUUCGAUGCAACGCGAAGAACCUUACCAGGUCUUGACAUACAGCGAACUUUCCAGAGAUGGAUUGGUGCCUUCGGGAACGCUGAUACAGGUGCUGCAUGGCUGUCGUCAGCUCGUGUCGUGAGAUGUUGGGUUAAGUCCCGUAACGAGCGCAACCCUUGUCCUUAGUUGCCAGCACGUAAUGGUGGGAACUCUAGGGAGACUGCCGGUGACAAACCGGAGGAAGGUGGGGACGACGUCAGGUCAUCAUGGCCCUUACGUGUAGGGCUACAAACGUGCUACAAUGGAUAUGACAGUGGGCAGCCACUCCGCGAGGAGGAGCUAAUCCCUAAACGUAUUCUCAGUUCGGAUUGUUCU